UUCUUUUUUAUUGCUGUAUUGUUCUUUUUUUCAUUUUUCUUUUUCAAAUAUUUUGCAUCUGGCUUGGUUGCCUCCAGGGAUGUGGAACCCUUGGGUCUGGAGGGACAGCUGGUCUCUCAAUUGGUGAAAAUAUUCCCUUAACCUGGAGAAUACUUUUGCCACUUUUGCUCAGUCUGCUCCUGGAUCCGGUCUGUGUCAUUUUGCCCGGAUCCUGGGCCCGCUCCCAAGGAGGGCUCCCCCAGCUGCAGGGGUGAGGGCCUGUGCUGUGUGGGCGCAUGGCUUAUCUGCCAGCGACCCAUGAUUGUUCCCUGGGGCUCUGCCACCCCCAGCUGACUCCUCUACACAGCUCCUGAUGCCUUGGGCAGGCCAUGUUGGGGGGGUGUAUCCCAGAAAGGCAUUGUGUGGGGUGCUGGUAUCGCUAGGGGCCUGGGGUCCCCGGUCCCCUCUGUGACUUUCAUGAGCAGAAUGGAGGUACCCAGUCUCUCCUCAUGUCACCACACCCCGCUAUCAGGAAGGGACAGGGUCUCAGGUUCCUAGUGUUCCCAGGACCUGCCUGCCGGAGGGCUGCAGCUGAACUGCUGUUAGCGUGGGUGGCUCUGAAUCAAUGGCCCAUUUUUCUGUGCAGUGUGUUGGGGGCAGCCUGAGCCUCUCACUCAGGUUGAACAGGAGCUUGGGGAACCCUCUUCCAGACCCUGAAGGGGUCCUGCUCUGUGUCCUGACCAACACUCAUAGGGUCUGCUCUGUGGUCCUGACCUCACUCAGGCCCUGCUCUAUAGCAAAGAAGCAAGCUAGACCUUUCUCCUUUGAUGUGGAGACGGGAAAAAACAAGUUUUAGAAUAACAUGCCCAGAAUGACCCCAACUAGGAACAAUCGACUGUAGGACUGGGAGGAUUUGAACAUGUGCAAGCAAAAGGAGGCACCAGAGGGCUGUUCAGAUGGAUAACUGUGCAGGUGGGCAUCCGUGCGGGUGGGCAUCCAUGCAGGUGGACAUUCACGCAGGUAGGCCUUUGUACAGGUGGGCAUCCGUGCAGGUGGGCAUCUGUGCAGGUGGGUAUUCGUGCAUGUGGACACAGGUGGGCAUUCAUGCAGGUGGACAUCUGUGCAGGCGGACAUUUUUGCAGGUGGGCAUUUGUGUGGGUGGGCUUCUGUGCAGGUGGGCAUCUGUGCAGGUGGAC
rnacentral:lncRNA from 10 species